AUUGAACGCUGGCGGCAUGCUUUACACAUGCAAGUCGAGCGGCAGCGCGGGGGCAACCCUGGCGGCGAGCGGCGAACGGGUGAGUAAUGCAUCGGAACGUAUCCUCGAGUGGGGGAUAACCCAGCGAAAGUUGGGCUAAUACCGCAUGAGCUCUGAGGAGGAAAGCGGGGGACCUGCGGAGGCCUCGCGCUGGGGGGGCGGCCGAUGUCGGAUUAGCUAGUUGGUGGGGUAAAGGCUUACCAAGGCGACGAUCGGUAGCUGGUCUGAGAGGAUGAUCAGCCACACUGGGACUGAGACACGGCCCAGACUCCUACGGGAGGCAGCAGUGGGGAAUUUUGGACAAUGGGGGCAAGCCUGAUCCAGCCAUGCCGCGUGAGUGAAGAAGGUCUUCGGGUUGUAAAGCUCUUUCGGACGGAAGGAAAUGGGCGGGACUAAUACCCCUGUCUGAUGACGGUACCGUAAGAAGAAGCACCGGCUAACUACGUG
rnacentral:rRNA from 1 species